GACGAACGCUGGCGGCGUGCCUAAUACAUGCAAGUAGAACGCACAGUUUAUACCGUAGCUUGCUACACCAUAGACUGUGAGUUGCGAACGGGUGAGUAACGCGUAGGUAACCUGCCUGGUAGCGGGGGAUAACUAUUGGAAACGAUAGCUAAUACCGCAUAAUAUUGAUUAUUGCAUGAUAAUUAAUUGAAAGGUGCAAUUGCACCACUACCAGAUGGACCUGCGUUGUAUUAGCUAGUAGGUGAGGUAACGGCUCACCUAGGCGACGAUACAUAGCCGACCUGGGAGGGUGAUCGGCCACACUGGGACUGAGACACGGCACAGACUCCUACGGGAGGCAGCAGUAGGGAAUCUUCGGCAAGGGACGAAAGUCUGACCGAGCAACGCCGCGGGAGGGAAGAAGGUUUUCGGAUCGUAAAGCUCUGUUGUAAGAGAAGAACGGGUGUGAGAGUGGAAAGUUCACACUGUGACGGUAUCUUACCAGAAAGGGACGGCUAACUACGUG
rnacentral:rRNA from 1 species